ACAACGCUAGUAUAAGUAGUACCGCUGCCUUCCAAGCAGAAAGUUUGUAAGAAUGCAAGCGUAGUA
rnacentral:tRNA from 1 species